rnacentral:rRNA from 1 species
AGUGAACGCUGGCGGUAGGCCUAACACAUGCCAGUCGAACGGCAGCACAGGAGAGCUUGCUCUCUGGGUGGCGAGUGGCGGACGGGUGAGGAAUACAUCGGAAUCUGCCCAGUCGUGGGGGAUAACGUAGGGAAACUUACGCUAAUACCGCAUACGACCUUCGGGUGAAAGAGGGGGAUCGCAAGACCUCUCGCGAUUGGAUGAGCCGAUGUCGGAUUAGCUAGUUGGCGGGGUAAUGGCCCACCAAGGCGACGAUCCGUAGCUGGUCUGAGAGGAUGGUCAGCCACACUGGAACUGAGACACGGUCCAGACUCCUACGGGAGGCAGCAGUGGGGAAUAUUGGACAAUGGGCGCAAGCCUGAUCCAGCCAUACCGCGUGGGUGAAGAAGGCCUUCGGGUUGUAAAGCCCUUUUGUUGGGAAAGAAAUCUUUCAGGCUAAUACCCUGGGAGGAUGACGGUACCCAAAGAAUAAGCACCGGCUAACUUCGUG